AUUGAACGCUGGCGGCAAGCCUAACACAUGCAAGUCGAACGAGUGGCGGACGGGUGAGUAAUGUCUGGGAAACUGCCUGCUGGAGGGGGAUAACUACUGGAAACGGUAGCUAAUACCGCAUACCAUCGGAUGUGCCCAGAUGGGAUUAGCUAGUUGGUGGGGUAAAGGCUCACCUAGGCGACGAUCCCUAGCUGGUCUGAGAGGAGGACCAUCCACACUGAAACUGAGACACGGUCCAGACUCCUACGGGAGGCAGCAGUGGGGAAUAUUGCACAAGGGGCGCAAGCCUGAUGCAGCCAUGCAGCGUGUAUGAAGAAGGCCUUCGGGUUGUAAAGUACUUUCAGCGGGGAGGCGUUACCCGCAGAAGAAGCACCGGCUAACUCCGUGCCAGCAGCCGCGGUAAUAC
rnacentral:rRNA from 1 species